ensembl:misc_RNA 7SK 7SK RNA
AGAUAUGAGGGCGAUCUGGCUGCGACAUCUUUUACGCCAUUGAUCGCUAGGGUUGAGUAGGCUGAUCUGACUGCCUAGGCGGGUGUCCCCUUCCUCGAUAAUCACUCCAUGUCCAUCCCUCCCAAAGCUGUGCACUUGGUCAAAGAUGACCACCUUCCCCAAAUAGAGAAGGAUCUGUCUUUGGUCAAAGGUAUAUGAAUAUCUGUGCUCCUCUGCUAGAACCUCCUAACAAGCUCUCAAAAUAAUGUUUACCGUCAAAACAUCUUUAAAAGUUAAAAUUCAGGAAAAGAUAUUU